rnacentral:rRNA from 1 species
AGUGAACGCUGGCGGUAGGCCUAACACAUGCAAGUCGAACGGCAACACAGUAAGAGCUUGCUCGUACGGGUGGCGAGUGGCGGACGAGUGAGGAAUACAUCGGAAUCUACUUUUUCGUGGGGUAUAACGUAGGGAAACUUACGCUAAUACCUCAUACGACCUACUGGUGAAAGCAGGGGAUCUUCGGACCUUGCGCGAUUGAAUGAGCCGAUGUCGGAUUAGCUAGUUGGCGGGGUAAAGGCGCACCAAGGCGACGAUCCGUAGCUGGUCUGAGAGGAUGAUGAGCGACACUGGAACUGAGACACGGUCCAGACCCCGACGGGAGGGAGCAGUGGGGAAUAUGGGACAAGGGGCGCAAGCCUGAUCCAGCCACAGCGCGUGGGUGAAGAAGGCCUUCGGGUUGGAAAGCUCUUCUGUUGGGAAAGAAAAGCAGCAGGUUAAUACCCCGCUGUGCUGACGGUACCCAAAGAAUAAGCACCGGCUAACUUCGUG